rnacentral:lncRNA from 1 species
CUCCGAGGGUCCUAGCUAGAUUUGCACAUCUCUUAUUAUUAUCGAACAAUGCCUAACUGUCUGGAGCACAUCACAAGUGGAAAUUCUGAAAAAUUUCAUGAAGGAAACUCAUUGCUCAUCCCAAGCAUCUGAUGAACAGUAUCCAUUGAGGC